AUAUUGAAAGGGAAUGCAAUUAAGCAACAGCUAAAUUGGUAUCUCUGCUCUUCUUGUGGUAUGAAUUUGCGGGUGAUGGUCAUGACACGAGGGAUUAAGCCAAGGGUCAACAGCUGCAUUAUCGGUACUGAAAGGCAACAAUGAAUCACAGACCUUUAAAGUUGGAAGGGAUCGUGGGGGUCAUCUAGUCCAAACCCCUUUUGCCCAACAAGGAGUUUGAACCCAUGAUGAGAUACUUAACAGUUGAAUGACACAGACAGAUUAAUUGUCGGGAUUUCAUUAGUCAUCGCUGUUCCCUGUCACCAACUUGUAACUUUCUGCAUCCGUCUUUAAAUUGUGUUUGGCAUCAGCCUCAAAGGCCAACAGAAUAGAGGGACUUCAGCAUGCAUCUUGGAGGUUUUGAAGAGACUUUCCUACUCACCUUUGCUUUAGACAACAGAACUAUGCAAGAUGGCGCUUAUCUUUCAGAUACAAAAAGACUUCCUGACAUGGCGCCAAUAGCGUUGAAAAGGGCUACUGAACAACUCUAACUUGAGCGUUCAUUAGACAGACCAGCCAAAGAAUCCAGCCUGGCUAUUGUAUAGAAGGUGUCUGUGAGGGAGAGGUGGUUUUGUACAGUACAUAACACAGUGGAAAUGAUGACAACAUCAAGUGCUAUGUAUGGAACGACAGAAAUGGACUAGGCAAAGCAUGGAUAGGUUAGGUCAGAUGUGGAUGGUUCAUGUCCAGUGAGUUAUUGCUAUGUUUUCAGGACAGCUUGUUAACCCAUUUUCAAUUUCUUAAAAAAGAAUUUGUGAUAAGAUAAAAAUCAUAUCUUCAUUCUCAAGUUGCUGUAAUGUUAAAGGAAGGCAAGAAAUGCUGGUGUUUGUUCGGCAAUGACUGCAUGCAUGGCUCCAACAAGUGAAGAUUCAGAAUGAAAUUAAUAUUCCAAGACAAGAUUUGGAAAGUGUAGUGGUUGUUUCAGCAAGCCCACACUGCAAGGGGAGACAGUGGAGGAAACUGUGACCAAGGUUCUCACUCCUAUGAAAUCCAUGUGCACCACUUUGUAAGUAUGCAUAGUAUUAUGGUCUUUAAAACUAUGGUUUGUCUUUUGUGUAUUGAACACAACAUUAUUUAGAAUAUGUCAGUACAGUGGAACCUCGGUUUUCAAACGUACAGUGGUACCUCAGGUUACAUACUCCUCAGGUUACAGACUCUGCUAACCCAGAAAUAGUGCUUCAGGUUAAGAACUUUGCUUCAGGAUAAGAACAGAAAUUGUGCUCUGGCAGUGCAGCAGCAGCAGGAGGCCCCAUUAGCUAAAGUGGUGCUUCAGGUUAAGAACAGUUUUAGGUUAAGUACGGACCUCCGGAACGAAUUAAGUACUUAACCUGAGGUACCACUGUAAUCCGUUCCAGAAGACUGUUUGACUUCUGAAACGUUUUAAAACUGAGGAGCAAUGGGCGGUUGGCAAAAUCCAUUGAGAGAAAAUAAAAACACACAGUAGAAGUCGUCUGACUUCCAAGGCACGUUCAAAAACGGAAGCAAUUACUUCCGGGUUUUCACUUCCGAAACGUUCGAAAACUGAGAUUCCACUGUAUUCCACUGUAUUCCCACAGCUUCCCCUAUAACUCACAACAACUAGCAAUCAUCUGUUUUGCUAUUUUGUAUUGUCGUGAGUUUGAGUAAGCAGACAUAGGAUUGCACAGUUUGAGUCAGGCUGUAUGAUGCCUCCGUCCCUUCUAAUUCCUGGAUCCGGGAAGGAUUAGAAUCUAAUGGAGCAUCUCAAUGUUGAAUUAGCCAGGCUCCGUGCCAGAGGGCAAAGGGGUGGACCUCAUCCCUUACCUGGCUGGAAGUAGGUCGGCUAGAAGCAGGCUGCAGGCAGAGAGGGAGAGCCACGCUUAAUUUCUGCUUGAAUCCAGCUGUUGAUAUGGGAGAAGCAACACCUUCUGGGGUGUUAAUGCUAUGAGUCCCUCCAUCCUGGGUUGUAGGUUUUUGUAAAUAAACCCUAUAACAUAAAGACACUACAGUCUCUGCUAUCCCUAACUCCAAGGAAACCGAAAGCUGGGUAAACAGCUGGAGUCUGGGGUGGCGUGCAACUGUAUUCAAGCACAGUAAAUUAAGUGUGCAGUGUUCUAUUAAGUACAGACCAUCUCAGCUUAGCUUGGAGGCUAUGCUCACACUCCCGAUUACUGGACACUCGAACAUUUCCAGUGUAUUUUUAUAAAAAAAUCCAUGUGGACAUUAUCCAAAAUGCAUAUGCAUCCCGUACUUCGUUAUAAGUUACUACUGUUUAGGGCAUUGUUUCUCAAAUGAGCUUCACACUGAUUGGAGCCUUCAAGUUAGUCUCUGAACCGCUUUUGCACAGGGGAAAAAGACACCCCCCAUCAUCAGUGACCCCUGUUGUGAGCCGAACCAGAAAUGACUUGGACACUAAUGAAGAUGUGGACAUGGGGGGGGGGGCCUUUGAAACAAACAACAACAACAACAGCUUCACUACACUCUAGGUGUUAUGUACUAAGCUUGGAUCCUAGAACAAUAGGCAGGUAGGAUCCUAGAAUGCCACAACUGAUUGGCUUGCAGGAAAAGACCAAUCAGGCUCCAGGAGGAAGUUAAUCAGCCUUUUAGGCUGGUAGGAUCGUAGAAUGCAACAACUGAUUGGCCUGCAGGAGAAGACUCCAGGCUCCAGGAGGGAAACAGAAUCAGCCAAUCAGACAGGACUCGUUGUGUAAAUAAUGUAUAUAAAGGCCUGAGGUUUGGAGGGGGGAAUCAAUCACUGUUUUACAAGCUGCAAUAAAAAGCAUGAAAUCACUACAGGACUCCGAGUAUAUUUCACUGGUGGUGAAGAUGGGAUCUUGCUGAACUGUCCGCUGUGCAUCGCACACAGCCGCCACAGGCAACACAACAUCGCACCGCGCAUCCAGGCUACAGCUCCAGGACCAAGGGAUGCAGAAUGGCAACAGACAACAGCUUCAUGCAGUUCAGCCCAGCCUCAGGAGACUGGGAAGGAUACACCACCCGCUUCCAGUUCCUCCUGGAGGCAAAGGACAUCACUGACGCAGCCAAGAAGAGGGGGACCUUCUUCAGCGUCUGUGGAGAAGAAACGUUUGAGAUUCACUAAGGCAGGAAUGUGAACAGACCCCUAGACUCCUCUACUGCCUCUCUUCUCUUUUGGAUGAGUAGGAACACUUUGCCAAGGCUGCAUUUAGAACCUUCAAGAGCUGUCAAGAACCCUGUUUAAUAGACCAGUUUACAUUCCCAACACCUGUGCGGUGUCUCCACUAACAACACCAUUUGUAUAUCAUUCUUUCCACAGCAACUUGCAUAAUCUCCAUUCUGAUCUCUAAAGUUGCUGCAGCUGAGAUCUGUGAGCUCCCGGCUGACGCAUUAUUCCAGUUCCCACUAUAAGAUAUCAUUUCCCUGAGUAAAGAACGCUAUGGAGAGAAAUCUACCUUUUUUCUCCCCCCAGCAGAAGUAAUUUCUGCAGGGAGUUUUGAAGCCAGAAUUGCAGGAGAUAAAUAGCAGAGGACACAAUAUCCUUCAGCACUGAGGAGGGUUUUGGCUAUGGAGAUGAUAUGAGAUACUUAUCGUAUAAGCAUGUGUGCACUAAUGAAUUUUCUGCUUUUGGUUGCUAGCUGGUUUUAAGUCUCCCUCCCCAAGCAAAAUUAAGCGGAUUUUAUACAUAUCCCUCAGAUAUCUUGUAUAUAAAUUAAUGGACUAUUUGUGCCAGACUGAAAACUUUAGAAAAAUCUACUUAUAUUAUUUGGAAGAGGCUAUAUAAUUACUUCAAAACUGCCUGUUGUUGUUGUUUUUUAAAAUCAUGAGAUCUCUAUAGUAGCUCUGAAGCUAUGCAAGAAUGAAAAGGUGGCUUUAAUGUGUAUUAAUGGAGCAAACAGCAAAUGUGGAGAAGAGCGGAUUCGUUUUUCUUAUUCCCUUGUAGGACAAGAAUGCUAAAUAAGAGGAUUCCAGCUGUGCAACAGGAAAGUUACAAUGGAUUGUGCAAGUCAUUAAUAUUGCAAUGAAAACUAAUUAAACCUAGAGCUCUGGAGAAGCACUCAUCGGAGAUUUGAAGAGAGGAAGUGCAAGAUUUGGGGGCCUUGGGCAAAGUGUAUUUCAUCCCUCAGAGCAGAACAGUAAACAGAGGGUACUGGAUUGCCUACUACGAUUGAAGAAAAGAAAAUGUAGGCAGUUAGGAAAACGUCUUCAAAUGGCAGAGUAUACCAUAGGACACAAUAGAAGAUGGCUGUUUCUCACUGCUUUUAUGGUUGCUUCCAGUAUUAUCAUUUUAAGGUAAGGGUGCUCUGCUGCCCAAGGCAAAACAGGAAGGUGCCUCCCCACCCAGGCCGAAGCCUCCCACCUGGGUUAUGUGGCAACACCUGCAAAGUGCAGUGGCAUAGCAUGGGGGGCACAGAGGCUGUUGUCCCAGGUGCAAAAUUGUUAGGGGGUGCAAAAUUUCAACACCCUAAUACAGCUGUGACAAACCUAGACAGCAUCUUAAAAAGCAGAGACAUCACCUUGCCAACAAAGGUCCGUAUAGUAAAAGCUAUGGUUUUCCCAGUAGUGCUGUAUGGAAGCGAGAGCUGGACCAUAAAAAAGGCUGAUCGCCGAAGAAUGGAUGCUUUUGAAUUACGGUGCUGGAGGAGACUCUUGAGAGUCCCAUGGACUGCAAGAAGAUCAAACCUAUCCAUUCUGAAGGAAAAUCAGCCCUGAGUGCUCACUGGAAGGACAGAUCGUGAAGCUGAGGCUCCAGUACUUUGGCCACCUCAUGAGAAGAGAAGACUCCCUGGAAAAGACCCUGAUGUUGGGAAAGAUUGAAGGCACAAGGAGAAGGGGACGACAGAGGAUGAGAUGGUUGGAUAGUGUUCUCGAAGCUACCAGUAUGAGUUUGACCAAACUGCGGGAGGCAGUGCAAGACAGGAGUGCCUGGCGUGCUCUGGUCCAUGGGGUCACGAAGAAUCGGACACAACUAAAAGACUAAACAACAACAACAACAACAACACCACUUUGUUGUUUCCAUCGUGGGGCUCUGUUGAAAAUGGCUUCUCCAUGCAAACCAGGAAGUGACCUCUCCAGACAAUGGAACAAAUCUUCUUAGCUCUAUGGGUGACGCGGAUGCUGUUAGGCAAUUGAAUACGCAUGCGUGCUGCAUCUGUUUCCCUCCCUCCACACGGCCCCGGGCACCGGCAAGCCACGCUAUGCCACUGGUGAAGUGGCAGCAUUGUUGGUGCAUUUCAGCAAUAUCUCGUGGAAAUCUCAGGAGGUUUUGGAGAGGUCUUGCAAGAUCUGGCUGGAGGCUACUGGUGCUGCUUCUCCACCAGCAGUGGAAAUGGCAGGGCACCUGUGGAACACAACUUCUUGGGCUUCUGCUGCCUCAGCCCACCUCAUUGGCAAGCCAGCCCUGGGCUGUCCCUCUUACACAAGUCAGCCUUCUUGGGCGAACCAUGCCCAUGUCUCCCAUGCCUGCCAUCACACGAUGGAGGAAAGUUCAUGCCUCACAUAGACUGGCUACAUACAGAUGCCUGCCCACUUGUGUGCAACCAGUAUGUGUUCUCCCACUGACACAUGCACCAUUUUUGGUACCAAAAGGGGGCAGGCAGGUGCAGAACAGGGGAAUCCCCACUCACAUAUAUCCAGAUAACGUGUGCAGUGGCCGGGAACGGAACCCCUGCGGGGUUUCCCUUGUACAUGCUCCCUUGUACAUCUCCCCAGCAGAGAAGGUCCUAUGGCUUCUCAGUGAUGUAAACACUUCAGUGACUCAUAAAGUCACCCUUCUUGCUUUUGCUUUGGCGGCCAAAAUGACCAGAAAGAAGACCCUGGACAAUAUACCAGUGAACUGUAAAGGAGACACAGAGAUCUAAACAGCGACCAUUAUUUGUGGUGUGACACCCCUUUUGCUUGUAUUUAUUUUUGAUUCAGAUUUGUCAUGGCCAAUGGCUAGUACAAUGAAUUUAUUUGGAUUGGAUUAGAUUAGAUUGUACAUGUUCCAGUCAUGACAAAGAGGUAAAAUUUCUAGAUACCCUAAAUGGCCGUGCCCUAGAAUGGUUAGUGAUUGAACUGACCAGAGGGGCAGCAACCCUGGACCUAAUCUUCAGUGGUGCCCAGGACCUGGUGUGAGAUGUAAGUGUUUUCAGGCUAACUGGGAACAGUGACCAUAGUGCUAUUAAACUAGUGUGACAUUUAAAUCGACCAUUGCCAAGGAAAAUGCAAUUCCCCCCCAAAGAGGAUUGGUAAAAAGGAAGUUGGAAGGCAAAGCCAAGAGGGUCAAAUCACUCCCAAAUACUUGGGAGCUGUUUAAAAACACAGUAUUACUAGUUCAACUGGAGUGUAUACAGCAGAUCAAGAAAGAUACCACAAAGACCAAGAGUAUGGUUAAAAAGCAGAGACAAAAAUGCUAUCAGAGAAAAGAAGAUGUCCUUCAAAAAAUGGAAGUCUUGCCCAAAUAAAGAGAAUCAGAAGGAACACAAACUUUGGCAAAAGAAGUACGAACAGAAAGUAAGAGAUGCUAAGAAAACAACAACAACAACAACAACAACAACAACAACAACAGGGAGGAGCACAUUGCUAAAAAUAUUAAGACCAACAGCAAAAAGUUCCUUAAAUACAUUACUAGACCGUCUAGGGAGGCUGUUGGAUGACAAGGGAGUAAAAGGUGUGCUAAAAGAGGAUAAGGAGAUUGCAGAGAAGCUGGAUGAAUUAUCUGCAUCUGUCUUCAUGUCUGAAGAUUUAUGGCCGAUCCCAGUGCCUGAACUUUGCAGGAAGGGAGUAUGAGGCAAAUAGUGGCGAUGAGAGAUGAAGCUGUAUGCCUAAUAGAUAAAAUAAAAACUGACACUUUGCUAGGUCCCGAUGGCAUCCACUCAAGAGUUCUCAAAUAACUCAAAUGUGAUGUUCUUACAAAAAUAUGUAACUUGCCCCUCAGAUCAGCCUCCAUACCUGAGGACUGGAAAGCAGCCAAUGUAACACCUUUUUUUAGGAGGGAUCCUGGAAAUUACAGGGCAAUUAGCUUAACACCUGUCCUGGAAAUACUGGUGGGAAGCAUGGUUAAAGAUAAAAUAUCCAAACAUAGAGAAGAACAAGCCUUGGUGAAGCAAAACCAGCAUGCUUCUGCAAGGCAACUCCUGCCUCACUUACCUAUUAAGAGUUUUUUGAGAGCGUCUGCAAUAACCAGAGGUGAUUCAGUUGACACAAUGUACUUGGACUUGCAAAAAGCUUUUGACAAGGUACCUUGCUAGAGACAACUGAGUAAGCUUAGCAGUCAUGGAAUAAGAGUAGAGGUUCUUUUGUGGGUUAGGAAUGGGUUCAGUAGCAGGAAGCAGACAGUAGGAACAUAUGGACAGUUCUCCAAAUGUUGAGGUGUAGAAAGUGAAAUCCACGAAGGAACAGUAUUGGAACUCAGAGCCUUUGCAGGGGUGGGGGGACCAGUUAAGAUGGGCCACCCAAGGAGGCUGAUGGUCUCAGCAACUCUUCCUAGGAGGUCUUUCCCUGAUGACACAGUUGCGAGGACUGAAUGUCCCUGCCUUCCCUCCCCUCUCUAAGACUCCUCCUCGCCUGGUUUAGCCCAUGACAUUACUCUUCACCUUGAGAGGAAAUGAGUCACCAACCUCUGUCACCUCUCUCUCUCUCUCUCCAUAUGAACUUCAGGAACUCUGAGCAUGACUUUAGCAUGGAGUCUGAAAUGAGUGUUUUCCUCUACCAAUACUUUGGAAACUUUUGCCAUCUGGAGCUAAGCAACGUUUCAACUGCCUGUGCAUCUUUUCUGGCUGUUGUAUGGAAAGGCACAUGAAUCUGACCUUUGAACAGUUUUACAAGUAAACCAUUUCAUGACUUGACAAACGUGUGGUCUACGUAUCUCUGUGCUAGGAACGUGGGAUGACUUGGAAAUAUAUUUUUAAAGGCGAUAUUUGGGGGAGUCACUGGACAUGCACCUUUAAAAGAUUUCCCAGUCUAGAUUUCCACACUUUUCUUUGCUGCGUGUUUUGCGAUGUUAAAUAUCUCCUGGGGUUCUCUCACCAAAAAGUCCUUGCCCCAAACCUGGGUCUUGGCCUUCAGGAUUCCAGUACUUGGCCCCUUAUAUCCCAGCACCAAGGGACGCAAAUGGUCUGUGUUAAGUUGUGGGUGAACAUAUCAGACGACACAGCGGAUCUUCAAACAGAUCUUGUUUAUUCACAGGCCAGGACAGAACCGAACUGAAGGGUUCAGUCAGCCUGCUUAUAUAGAGCUCCAGUACAACGUUACUGUAACAACUUUCUAAAACUAUCCAAUCACUGAAC
rnacentral:lncRNA from 1 species